rnacentral:rRNA from 1 species
AACGAACGCUGGCGGCAGGCUUAACACAUGCAAGUCGAGCGCCCCGCAAGGGGAGCGGCAGACGGGUGAGUAACGCGUGGGAAUCUACCCAUCUCUACGGAAUUACGCAUGGAAGCGUGUGCUAAUACCGUAUACGUCCUUCGGGAGAAAGAUUUAUCGGAGAUGGAUGAGCCCGCGUUGGAUUAGCUAGUUGGUGGGGUAAAGGCCUACCAAGGCGACGAUCCAUAGCUGGUCUGAGAGGAUGAUCAGCCACACUGGGACUGAGACACGGCCCAGACUCCUACGGGAGGCAGCAGUGGGGAAUAUUGGACAAUGGGCGCAAGUCUGAUCCAGCCAUGCCGCGUGAGUGAUGAAGGCCCUAGGGUUGUAAAGCUCUUUCACCGGUGAAGAUAAUGACGGUAACCGGAGAAGAAGCCCCGGCUAACUUCGUGCCAGCCGCCGCGGUAACAC